ACACCAGACUUAUUUAUCAUUAGAAACGAUUUCUGGUGCUACUAAGAUGAUCUAUAAAAGAAUAGUGAAAGUGGAACAACAGGAAAUUUGAUGUCAUGGUUAUGGUUUGGGACCAUCUUUAGGUACAAAGAGAGUAAAUAAACAGGAUUGAUAUGAGGAACAGAAGCACUUGUCUGUGGGUCCUUGGUCUGGCUUCCGUGUUCUCCGCUAUGGUUCCACAGCAGCACCCUGAAACCUGUCCGUAUCUGGAUGGGAAAAGCAAUGUUGAUCCUCAGUCUGGCCUCCUGCAUUAGUGGCAUCAAUGAGAAACGGCUCCUUACUCGUGGUAACCCGUACAACUCUCUGCCUGUGGAAGCAAAGUUUGCAAACUCCCUUGGCAUCCUCAUUGUGGCCUUUGGAUUGGUCAUCUUUGGCAUCCUGUCCGAAAACAGAUGGCAGCGGCCGGAAACAGAUAGUGAACGUGCUCAUCUUCUGCUCAAUGAAGAGACAGCAUAUGAGAACACUGAUACAAUGUGCCAUGGCGAGCACAUAGUGCGCUGGUUUUCAAGAAAACUGCAUUGUAUUUCUCUGAUUAACAUGUUUACAAAGGAUAUAAGAAAACCUUGUAUUGAAGUUGUUUGAAGUGUUGUUGAAAGUACCAGUAUUCCUAGAAUCCUUGUAGUUUGCAGUAUUUAAGGGAGAUGGAUUUGUUUUACAAAUUUCAUAGAUUAUUUGUUCUUCUUUAUAGCUGAUCUAUGAUGACCUAUAUUGAUAUUUAGUGAAUCAAUUUUCUGUCUCUAUACGUACACAGCUGCAUGUAUUUUUAAUAAACGACAGAAAUGCAUGUUCAGUAUCAUUAUGGCAGCUUCACAAAAAGGCUUGUAUUACUAAUGUUGCUACAUGGUAUGGUUUAGAAACAAUAAAAGAGUUAUAACCUAA